CCUACGGGAGGCUGCAGUGAGGAAUAUUGGUCAAUGGGCGGAAGCCUGAACCAGCCAAGUAGCGUGCAGGAUGACGGUCCUACGGAUUGUAAACCGCUUUUGUCCGGGAGUAACAGACCCUACGUGUGGCGCUUUGCAUGUACCGGAAGAAAAAGCACCGGCUAAUUCCGUGCCAGCAGCCGCGGUAAUACGGAGGGUGCGAGCGUUAUCCGGAUUUAUUGGGUUUAAAGGGGGCGUAGGCGGAAGGUCAAGCGUGCGGGGAAAUGUAGGGGUUCAACCCGGGCCUUGCAGUGGAAACUGGUGUGCUUGAGUCAGCGGGAAGCAGGCGGAAUGCGUGGUGUAGCGGUGAAAUGCUUAGAUAUGACGAAGAACCCCGAUUGCGAAGGCAGCUUGCUGGAGCGGAACUGACGCUGAUGCUCGAAAGUGCGGGUAUCGAACACGAUUAGAUACCCGAGUAGUC
rnacentral:rRNA from 1 species